AUGCGUUUGGAUAAUAUCCUUUUUCGAUUGGGUAUGGCUUCAACCAUUCCUGGGGCCCGCCAAUUAGUCAACCAUAGACAUAUUUUAGUUAAUGGUCGUACAGUCAAUAUACCAAGUUUUCGUUACAAACCCCGAGAUAUUAUUACUACGAAAGAUAACCAAAGAUCAAAAGGUCUGGUUCAAAAUUAUAUUGCUUCAUCGGACCCGGGGAAAUUGCCAAAGCAUUUGGCGAUUGACACGUUGGAAUAUAAAGGACUAGUAAAUAAAAUCCUAGAUAGGAAGUGGGUCGGUCUCAAAAUAAAUGAGUUGUUAGUUGUAGAAUAUUACUCUCGUCAGACUUGA
rnacentral:rRNA from 1 species